rnacentral:tRNA from 1 species
GCGCCCGUAGCUCAGCUGGAUAGAGCGCAGGACUCCGACUCCUGAGGUCGCAGGUUCAACUCCUGUCGGGCGUACCA